rnacentral:lncRNA from 1 species
UGGCGUGAGCGGGCGGAAGAGUCGAUUGCUUUCGGUGGCAAUUACCGUCAUUUCUUUGUACCAGCGACGUUAUUCGACCGUGUUCGUGUUGUCGAGUCAUCUGGCGGCAUUGAUGAACACUCUCGGUGAUGUUCCAUACCACCGAUGUUACCGGAAAUAGCGGGAAGGCAGUGCGACUUCGACGACUCCUGUGAGUGCGACGGCCACACAAGGGCGAUGAGCGGCGGCGGGUCAUGUGCGCUGUAUCAGGCGUUGCGCAGGUGCGCGUGCUGUUCAGCUGUGAACCAGUGUCGAUUCGACCGCGCAACAGCGUUCGCAGCCGCUGUCGACACUCCGGGUCCUUCAAGAGGCACCGUCGGCCAGCAACAACCGAAGACGACGGAGACUCGAGCGUAAUCGCAGAGCAUCGGAACGCACUGAAGGUACAUACGACACCACGCUAGUCACCAGUUGCGUCGGCAGCUAUUGUAUGCAGAUGGUAAAGAGUCGCAAGCAUCAUAAUACGGUCUGCCCAUU